GAUGAACGCUGGCGGCGUGCCUAAUACAUGCAAGUCGAGCGAACAGAUGAGGAGCUUGCUCCUCUGACGUUAGCGGCGGACGGGUGAGUAACACGUGGAUAACCUACCUAUAAGACUGGGAUAACUUCGGGAAACCGGAGCUAAUACCGGAUAAUAUAUUGAACCGCAUGGUUCAAUAGUGAAAGACGGUUUUGCUGUCACUUAUAGAUGGAUCCGCGCCGCAUUAGCUAGUUGGUAAGGUAACGGCUUACCAAGGCGACGAUGCGUGGCCGACCUGAGAGGGUGAUCGGCCACACUGGAACUGAGACACGGUCCAGACUCCUACGGGAGGCAGCAGUAGGGAAUCUUCCGCAAAGGGCGAAAGCCUGACGGAGCAACGCCGCGUGAGUGAUGAAGGUCUUCGGAUCGUAAAACUCUGUUAUUAGGGAAGAACAAAUGUGUAAGUAACUAUGCACGUCUUGACGGUACCUAAUCAGAAAGCCACGGCUAACUACGUG
rnacentral:rRNA from 1 species